ensembl:snRNA U6 U6 spliceosomal RNA
GAUGCUUACUUUGGCAACACAUACUAAACUUGGAAACAUUUGAAGAUUAGCAUGGUCCCUAUGCAAUGGGGACACACAAAUCUAUAAACUGUUCUAAUUUUUU